rnacentral:lncRNA from 1 species
UUCUCUUUGGAUUUCUUCCCCCUUGUUAUGGUGAAUGGUGGAUGUAUUUAUAGGCUAGGGAGAGGACCACCAUCUAAUUAAGGUGGUAGUGAUGAGUGUUGUGGUAAUGAGUGGAUGUAAUGGGUGUGGUGGAUGAGUGUUUGGUAAUGAGUGGAUGUAAUGGGUGUGGUGGAUGAGUGUGUGAUGUCCAUGUUUCCCUUUACAUUUGCACACAUGACCUCCAUCAUUUCAACCACAAAUCAACCCAUUUUCUACCCAUGUGUGUGUGUUUCCUUUGCCCAUGUGUGUGUGUUUUUCCUUUGCAUUUGCACACACAUGUUCUUCAUUAUUUCAGCCAACAAUCCACCCAUUUUCUGCCCAUGUCAAACUGUCCAUGCCUUGCCUUUCUCUUUGUGUGUGUGCUGUCCAUGUUUCUGAACCUUUCAGUUUUACAAUGCCCAUAACGUCUUCUAGAAAAAUGAUAUUAACAAUCCGUAAAUUGCUCCAGAAAAUAGACAUCCGUAGCUUUCCACGCAUAUAAGACUCAUUUUCUCAUUCAUUCUGAGCUGUUC